UACGUAGGGGGCAAGCGUUGUCCGGAAUCAUUGGGCGUAAAGCGCGUGUAGGCGGCCCGAUAAGUCCGCUGUGAAAGUCCAGGGCUCAACCCUGGAAUGCCGGUGGAUACUGUCGGGCUCGAGUCCGGAAGAGGCGAGUGGAAUUCCUGGUGUAGCGGUGAAAUGCGCAGAUAUCAGGAGGAACACCGAUGGCGAAGGCGGCUCUCUGGGACGGUACUGACGCUGAGACGCGAAAGCGUGGGGAGCGAACAGG
rnacentral:rRNA from 1 species